AAUUAAAUGCCUGACAAAAGGAGUGCUCCGAUACUGCAUAUAUACACAUAUCCACGUGUUUUAAUAU
rnacentral:tRNA from 1 species